GGCUUCAUUAUCAAGUAGCACAAAGUCUCCAAUCUAUAACCUCCUUUGUCUGGAUAUCUGCAUUUAACUACCAUUGCCAGAGCUAAUCCUGACAAUGCAUUCAUAUUUUUAACACUGAAACACAGUAAACAGGGAAAAUUUUGCUCCUCUAAAACAGGGCAUCUUCAGGCAAUCAGAACAACUCAGAAAGUUUCUGUCUGUUGCAUAAAACUCCCCUGUGCAAAGAGUUACACAAAAUGCUGUCAUAGUAAAGGUAGUUAACUAACGGCACUAAUUGUUCUUGGGCAGUGGCCAAGUGGAACUUCAGAGACCUGGCAUUGCCAGCCAGAAAUCACUUGUCAUGGGAAUUGUCUCCAAAGGAACAGCAUGAGCAAAUGCAAGGAGGCCUAAAAUAAAGAGAUGUGUAAAGAGGUGUAAGCAGCUUUGUGCUACUGCCUGAUAAUUAGAAGAAUAUCGGGAGUAACAAGAGCUAUAGAAGAGAGUCACAAUUAUGGAAAAAUAUUUAUUAAAUUAUAAGAAAUUUAUAGCAUAAGGAAUAGUAGGACCAUUAAAUGUUUUAAUAAAGAUGAUGCUUCUUUUUUUAAUAUUUAUUUUUAUUAUACUUUAAGUUCUAGGGUACAUGUGCACAACGUGCAGGUUACAUAUGUAUACAUGUGCCGUGUUGGUGUGCUGCACCCAUUAACUCAUCAUUUACAUUAGGUAUGUCUCCUAAUGCUAUCCCUCCCCCCUCCCCCAACCCCACAACAGGCCGCGGUGUGUGAUAUUCCCCUUCCUGUGUCCAAGUGUUCUCAUUGUUCAAGUCCCACCUAUGAGUGAAAACAUGCGGUGUUUGGUUUUUUGUUCUUGAGAUAGAUGAUGCUUUAAAUUGACCACUCUAGCUGCAUUGUGGGAGGAAAAAAAGAUUUUAAAACAAGACUAGAAACAGAAUAAUUAGAAAAAUGCAACUACAAUGCAGAUGAGUGAUUAUCAAGGUCUGAACUGAAUAGUGGAAAUAGAGAUAAGGAGGCAAAUUCAAGAUAUGUGCGUGACAGUAAAAUUAACAUGACCUAGUGUUUGAUUGACUCUGUAAAGUGAAAGGAAAGGAUGAAUAAUCAACAAAUAAUAUUUAUUCUACCAAAUGCCUCCAUGCCGCUUUGAUGACAGGAUAAUAUGUAAGCUUUUCUAUAUUUCAGAAACUAUAUGACAUGACGAAAAGUAAAAAGGGGAUGGGGGUAAGGAGGUAUCCUGAAUUGACUGAGAAAUAAGGAGGUAUUCCACAGAGAAUAUAAAUAAACAUAUACUUAGUGUUCAAGGAAUAAUAAAAAAGAGAACAUCUAUGUGUCCACCAUACAGGAUAUGAAAUAGAACAUUUGCCGGCCAUGGUGGCUCACACCUGUAAUCCCAGUACUUUGGGAGGCCGAGGUGGGAGGAUCACUUAAGCCCAGGACACAGGUUGCAGUGAGCCAAGAUCACACUAUCGUACUCCAGCCUGGGCCACCAUGUCUCAGAAAAAUAAAAAAAACUAGAUGUCUUGGAGGAUUGGAAACAAAAUAGAACUUUACUAGUGCCUUAGACGCCCAUUGGGUGCUCCUUGCCAAUUGUGUUCUCCUUUAUUUCCUGCUGGAUAUGACCACUGUCCUUCCAUUGCAUUGUAUGUGUUUUUUAAUAGACUUUAAUGGUUCUCAAGUGAUGCAUUAUUUAGUUUGGUUCUUUGAAACUUAUAUAAAUGAAAUUAUUUUGUAGAAGUUCUUUCACCUUUAUCAGAAGGUACUUUCACCUUGAUUCAAUAAUAAGUUUGCAUAUUACAACCUUGUUGAAUGUUGGUGUAAUUCAUCCAUUCGUAUUGCUAUAUGAUAUUCCACUACAUGAAUAUGUCGGACUUCAUUCCUCAGAUCUAUUGUUGAUGAACACUUGAAAUUUUUCCAGUUUUUAACCAUUACAAACAAUGCUGCUAUGAACAUUCUUUUGUAAAUCACCUGGUUCAUAUGUGCAAGAUAUCCUCUGGGGUAUAUAUUUAAAAGUAAAAUUAUUGAGUUAUUCAACAUUACCAUGAGAUGCUACACUAUUUUUUUUAACAAUCCUACCAAUUUACACUUCUACCACGAACAGAUAAGCAUUACCGUUGGUCUUCAUUUGUAGGAACCAUAUUUGUCUUUUGCUCUGGGGGCUUUGUUUUGUUUUGCUUUGUUUUUUGCUUAGAAGUGCUUUGGCUAUUAGGGAUCUUUUUUUGGCUCCAUGUGAACUUUAGGAUUUUUUUUUAAUUUUGUGAGAAAUAACGUUGGUAAUUUGAUGGGAAUUGCAUUAACUCUAUAGAUUGUAUGGGUGAUAUGGUCACUUUAGCUAUUGAUUUUUCUAAUCCAUGAGCAUGGGAUGUUUUUCCAUUUGUUUAUGUCAUCUAUAAUUUCUUUCAUUAGUAUUUUGUAGUUCUCUUUGUAGAGAUCUUUCAUUUAUAUAGUUAUGCAUUCCUAGGUAUUUUUCAUGGCUAUUGUAAAUUCAGUUGAGUUCUUAAUUUGGUUCUCAACAAAUUAAUCUCAACAAACAUUCAAACAGCUUGAAUGUAUUUGGUGUAUAGAAAUACAACUGAUUUUUGUGGCUUGUUUAUCCCAAGACUUUACUGAAGUCGUGUAUCAAGUCUAGGAGUCUUCUGAAGACUUUAGGGUUUUCUAGGCCUACAGUCAUGUCAUCAGUGAGCAGAGAUCAUUUGACUUCUUUUCUAAUUUGUAUACCUUUUAUUUCUUUCUCCUUUCUGAUAGUUCUGGCUAGCACUUCCAGUACUGUAUUGAAUAGGAAUGAAGAAGGUGAACAUCUUUGCUUUUUUCCAGUUUCUAGAAGCAACACUUCUAACUUUUGCCCAUCCAGGAUGAUGUUGGCUGUGGCUUUGUCAUAGAUGACUCA
rnacentral:lncRNA from 10 species